rnacentral:misc_RNA from 1 species
GAUGAAGAACGCAGCGAAAUGCGAUACGUAAUGUGAAUUGCAGAAUUCAGUGAAUCAUCGAAUCUUUGAACGCACAUUGCGCCCGCCAGCAUUCUGGCGGGCAUGCCUGUUCGAGCGUCAUUUCAACCCCUCAGGCCCUGGUGCCUGGCGUCGGGGCGUUCCUCUCCCCCGCGGGAGGAAGCCCUCAGAAGCAGUGGCGGACCCGCCGCGGCUCCGAGCGCAGUAGUAACAUUCUCGCUUAGGAAGCUCGCGGGGGGGCACCCGGCCGUAAAACCCGAAGCCUCCGGGCUUCGACUUCUAAGGUUGACCUCGGAUCAGGUAGGAAUACCCGCUGAACUUAAGCAUAUCAAUAAGCGGAGGGA